AACGCGAAGAACCUUACCAGGUCUUGACAUACCGGCAAAGCUCAGUAGAUGAGGAAAUAGUUAUGCCGGAUACAGGUGGUGCAUGGUUGUCGUCAGCUCGUGUCGUGAGAUGUUGGGUUAAGUCCCGCAACGAGCGCAACCCUUGUCUUCAGUUACCAUCAUUCAGUUGGGGACUCUGGAGAGACUGCCGGUGACAAACCGGAGGAAGGUGGGAUGACGUCAAAUCAUCAUGCCCCUUAUGGCCUGGGCUACACACGUACUACAAUGGCGUAUACAACGGGAAGCGAAAUGGUGACAUGGAGCAAAUCUCACAAAGUACGUCUCAGUUCGGAUUGAAGUCUGCAACUCGACUUCAUGAAGUCGGAAUCGCUAGUAAUCGCGGAUCAGCAUGCCGCGGUGAAUACGUUCUCGGGCCUU
rnacentral:rRNA from 1 species